rnacentral:tRNA from 1 species
GCCCGGAUGGUCUAGUGGUACGUUCCACUUCUAUAUGCUGUCCUGCGAAUCUCAACUAAUGAAUAAUUAGGUAUGAUUCGUGCUUCGGGUGAACCUGUGCGAGGUCCCGCGUUCAAAUCGCGGUUCGGGCC